rnacentral:rRNA from 1 species
UAAAGUUGAUCCUGUGCUCAGAAUCAAGGCUGUGUGGCGCUGCCUCAUACAUGCAAGUCGAACGCGAAAGAUCCCCUUCGGGGGAUGAGUAGAGUGGCGCACGGGUGACUAACACGUACGUAAUCUACCUUUGGGUGGGGAAUAACGCAGGGAAACUUGCGCUAAUACCGCAUAAUGCAGCGGCACCACAUGGUGACAGUUGUUAGAGCGGGGGAUUUUCGGACCUCGCGCCUAAAGAGGAGCCUGCGGCAGAUUAGCUAGUUGGUAUGGUAAUGGCUUACCAAGGCGACGAUCUGUAGCCGGCCUGAGAGGGCGGUCGGCCACACUGACACUGACAUACGGGUCAGACUCCUACGGGAGGCAGCAGUCGGGAAUUUUGGACAAUGGGCGCAAGCCUGAUCCAGCCAUGCCGCGUGCGGGAAGAAGGCCUUCGGGUUGUAAACCGCUUUUGUCAGGGAAGAAACGCGCUGAGCUAAUACCUCGGCGUAAUGACGGUACCUGAAGAAUAAGCACCGGCUAACUACGUGCCAGCAGCCGCGGUAAUACGUAGGGUGCAAGCGUUAAUCGGAAUUACUGGGCGUAAAGCGCGCGUAGGCGGCUUUGCAAGUCGGGUGUGAAAUCCCCAGGCUUAACCUGGGAACUGCAUUCGAGACUGCAUUGCUAGAGUAUGGGAGAGGGCAGUGGAAUUUCCGGUGCAGCGGUGAAAUGCGUAGAUAUCGGAAGGAACAUCAGUGGCGAAAGCGACUGCCUGGACCAAUACUGACGCUCAUGUGCGAAAGCGUGGGGAGCAAACAGGAUUAGAUACCCUGGUAGUCCACGCCAUAAACGAUGACAACUGGAUGUCGGAGGGGUCUGCCCUUCGGUGUCGUAGCUAACGCGUUAAGUUGUCCGCCUGGGGAGUACGGCCGCAAGGCUGAAACUCAAAGGAAUUGACGGGGGCCCGCACAAGCGGUGGAGCAUGUGGUUUAAUUCGACGCAACGCGAAGAACCUUACCCAGGCUUGAACUGCAGAUGACAUCCUACGAAAGUAGGCUCCCGCAAGGGCAUCUGUAGAGGUGCUGCAUGGCUGUCGUCAGCUCGUGUCGUGAGAUGUUGGGUUAAGUCCCGCAACGAGCGCAACCCUUGUCUUCUGUUGCCAUCGGGUCAAGCCGGGCACUCUGAAGAGACUGCACGGUGACAAACUCGGAGGAAGGUGGGGAUGACGUCAAGUCAGCAUGGCCUUUAUGUCUGGGGCCACACACGUGCUACAAUGGUCGGUACAAACCGUCGCGAGCCCGCAAGGGGGAGCUAAUCGGAGAAAGCCGGUCUCAGUUCGGAUUGUAGGCUGCAACUCGCCUGCAUGAAGUUGGAAUCGCUAGUAAUCGCGGAUCAGCACGCCGCGGUGAUACGUUCCCGGGCAUUGUA